UUGAUUUUGGGUCUGUAUGGGAUGUGAUUGGGAAGAAGAUCUAGUUUGUUGAUUGCAAAUUACAGUAGCUUUAGGAGCUACCUGGUUGGGUUGUGGAUCUUGGUUUUUGAUUGUGUAUGCUUUGCAGCUCCUCGAACUGGAACCUACCAAGGUAAUUGGGCAAUGGCAUGUAGGCCUAUUUCUCCUACCGAGUAAUCACCAAGGUUUGUAAAACAAAAGCAUCUUAUUGAUGUCACUGAAGUAUUCAGGGUUCUUAAUACUGAGAAGAAGUCUUGGCUUGUUAAGCUUGCUGUCUACUUUUGUCUCCUCACUAUAAUCAUUAUCAGGCUAUGUGAAGGGGCAAUACUCCGGCACUAGCAACUUCUGACAUUUCUGAUAUCCCUCCCGACCUGGUAAAUCCAAGUGCAGUUGAAUUAGUUUUGGACAUCAGAAGAGAAUAUGCCAAAAACUUGAGCAGGUUCUCAUGGCAAAAAAAGCAAAGCAAAUGAAAGCAAGUGCAAAGCUCACAAAAUGACAAAGUAAAAUGAUGCACUUGUGAUUGUUGUUUUAUUUUAAGAGUGCUUAUUAUCAUGUUCAAUACUUAGAAAUGACAUUAUUUUCACUUUAGUAUUUGUAUUUGAAUAUAGUACAAUGAGUCAAUGGAUAUGUUUAAGCAUAUUUUUCAUGAA